GUUUCACCGGCUGUCUGUCUGUGGUCCACUUCAACUCCAUCAGUCCUCUGAAAGCCGCUCUGCUCCACCCGGACACCAGCCCCGUGGUCAUCUCCGGACCUUUAGUCCAAUCCAACUGUGGCUCAUCUGCUUCAGCCAACCCCUACGCAGCCGUAAACACACACCACCUAUCAGACCAGUCUGGUUCUCUGGGUACAGGCCAACCUUUAGUCAAUGCCAUCAGGACGGACUCCGCUCUGAUUGGAGGUGUCAUCGCUGUGGUCAUUUUUGUGAUCGUCACCGCUCUGGCCGUAACAGCCAGGUUCCUGUACCGCAGAAAAGAGACGUACCGGAACCGAGAAGUGAAGGGGGUCAAACAGGAGGACAGCCAAGACUUCCCCUUCGACACCCAGGCCGACUCGCAGAACGUGUCCGGCGAAAACCCAAAGGAGUAUUUCAUUUAAGCAGGAGGAGUGGGACGUCCUGAUGAGCCGGAGGUGACGAAGCCCAGGGGAAGGGGGCGCUGUCCGGCCUCAUGUCCACUGUCCGGCCACAUGUCCACCCUUUCCACUGCAGUCAGAACCAGGGCAGACUCUGCAGAAACCACUGGGUUCAUGUGGAAGACAAACAAAAGAACAAUACACGGUGUUGUCUGUCUGUCUGUCGCUUUAAUGUAAAUUGUGAAUACUCCUGAUUCCAACGGGGGCAGCAGAAGUUGGACUCAAAAGGGUUGAUUUCUCGUUUCAGUGGCUGUAAAUAUUUAAAAAUGUAAAUGUUGAAUUCAUGUAUUUGUAACGAUCUCUGGCUAAUGUCACUUUGUCGAUCUGCAGUGGUGGAUAUAAUGGAGGUCUGGGUGUGUAGAAGCCAGUAAUGGAAUAACAACCGAUAACGUAGUAACGGCCGAUAACAUAAUGAAUUUGCC